AACGCACAUUGCGCCCGCUAGUAUUCUGGCGGGCAUGCCUGUUCGAGCGUCAUUUCAACCAUCAAGCCCCAGGCUUGUGUUGGGGACCUGCGGCUGCCGCAGGCCCUGAAAACCAGUGGCGGGCUCGCUGUCACACCGGGCGUAGUAGAUUUUAUCUCGCUCAGGGCGUGCUGCGGGUUCCGGCCGUUAAAAAGCCUUUUUUACCCAAGGUUGACCUCGGAUCAGGUAGGAAUACCCGCUGAACUUAA
rnacentral:misc_RNA from 1 species